rnacentral:rRNA from 1 species
UACGUAGGGAGCAAGCGUUGUCCGGAAUCAUUGGGCGUAAAGCGCGCGUAGGCGGCCCUGUAAGUCCGUUGUGAAAGUCAAAGGCUCAACCUUUGAAAGCCGAUGGAUACUGCAGGGCUAGAGUCCGGAAGAGGCGAGUGGAAUUCCUGGUGUAGCGGUGGAAUGCGCAGAUAUCAGGAGGAACACCGGUGGCGAAGGCGGUUCUCUGGGCCUGUUCUGACGCUGAGGAGCGAAAGCGUGGGGAGCGAACAGG